rnacentral:lncRNA from 1 species
UAAGGCUUGUUUAGAAUGCAAGGCUUCCUCAAUUCUCCACCCUUCCCCUCUUGACAUCUUGCUCUUCUUCCCUUCAUCUAUUGUGUUAGUCAGGUGCAUGCUGGUCUUCCCUCUAUCAAACUGUAAGCUACUUGGAGACUUGGGAUGCCUCACUCAUCUCUAUUCCCAAACCUCAGGGUCUAUCAUUCUACCUUCUGUAUAGACAGGACUUUCAUAGUUUUGAACAAGUCAGAACCUGAAAGAAUUUGCUUCCAGAACAGGACAUUGACAGGAAAAUUAAGCAUGAUCAUGCCGAGUAAAAUAGGAAUAAGAAUUGGACCUACCUCAAGAUCUGUUGAGAAGAUUAUGAGAGAGCUGAUGGAUCUAAAAGAUUGGCGCUUGAUAGAAUUGGGAUCAUUUGUUUUGACUAGAACAAUCUCUUGCAGCUUGGAUGGAGAAACUUUACAGAGGUUUCAGCCAAACACUCAUGAAUUCUUUAAUGUGUGAAAUAAAGAGCUAAAAUAAUAUCUAAGUUUCCUCUUUGCCUGACGCCAUCCAUGCAAAAUGUGACUUGCUUCUUCAGCAGCAGCAUGAAAACAAACUAAUACACCACUAUUCCUAGUUUGUACAACGAAAGGCUAAAAAUUUGGGAGAUGCAGGAUGACUGAAGCCCGAUUCUGGGGGUUGUUACAGCACAGUUACAGGGCCUUCCUCACACCCAUGUCUUCAGAUACCCAAGGCCUUUAAUACCCAAGUCCUUCCAGGAUUCUGCACAUCUCAUUAGCUUCAUAUUCCCUCUAUUUGAAAAGUUCAUAUGGACCCAGCUCUGUCAUCAUCACAUGUUCUAUAUCCCCAAACCUUGUGACAUCUGCAAAGAAGUACAGAAGACCUCAAGAGAAGAUAAGCUAGAAUUUAUUUAUUUUUAUACCUUUUAUUCAGUUUUUAUUAAAG